UUUUGUAUAUUUAAGCAACAUGCAGCAAUGAAGAAAAGAAGGCUACAGCUAAGUUCUGAAAGCCAUCUUUUACUCAGUUGGAAGGAUUCUAUUAUUCUUAGUAUUGAUGAUGAAGUUUUACAAGAGCUUAUUUAUGCUCUUUUAGAGUUUAACAAUAACAUCUUACCGACCCCAGAUGUUGGACAGUAACAAUUCAUCUAUCCCAUGAGGUUUUACUGCAGGAUCAGCAUGACCAUGACAGAAGCAGCAAAUUCGUCGAAGUAAAUGAAAGUGUAGAUGCUAACGUUGUUGAUUUUCUAGCCUUGGGGCCAUGGUAUUGUUGUAGGCUUAGUGCUUUGAAAUGUGCUCGCUAUUCACAUUUU
rnacentral:misc_RNA from 1 species